rnacentral:rRNA from 1 species
ACAGAGGUGGCAAGCGUUGUUCGGAAUUACUGGGCGUAAAGGGCGCGUAGGCGGCCUACUAAGUCAGACGUGAAAUCCCCCGGCUUAACCUGGGAACUGCGUCUGAUACUGGAAGGCUUGAGGAUGGGAGAGGGAUGUAGAAUUCCAGGUGUAGCGGUGAAAUGCGUAGAUAUCUGGAGGAAUACCGGUGGCGAAGGCGGCAUCCUGGACCAUUACUGACGCUGAGGCGCGAAAGCUAGGGGAGCAAACGGGAUUAGAUACCCCGGUAGUCCUAGCCCUAAACGAUGAAUACUUGGUGUGGCGGGUAUCGAUCCCUGCCGUGCCGAAGCUAACGCAUUAAGUAUUCCGCCUGGGGAGUACGGUCGCAAGGCUG